rnacentral:lncRNA from 1 species
GAAAUUAGUGGAAGGCAUGAAAUCAUUUGAGAAAUGUAAUUUAAUGUAUAGCACAGCAACCACUGUAUUAUGAUCAGGAUAUUGAGAACUUGAAUACGUCGCACUUUAUAACAAACAGACAAAUAACCAGAAAAAAGAGUUGAUUUAAGAAAUUUAUUAUUUUUUUUAAAAAAGCAACUUCCAGGGUUGUCAUUGUACAGGUUUUGCCCAGUCUCCUAUAGCAUGGUAUAGUGAUAACUGAUUUUUUAUAACAAUGACUCAGAGGCAUUGAAGAUCCAUAACUAUCUUCUGAAUUAUCAC